GAUGAACGCUAGCGGCAGGCCUAACACAUGCAAGUCGAGGGAGAAGCCCUUUCGGGGGUGGAAACCGGCGCACGGGUGCGUAACGCGUAUGCAACCUACCUUUCACAGGGGGAUAGUCCGAAGAAAUCUGGAUUAAUACCCCAUAAUAUUAUUGGAUGGCAUCAUUUGAUAAUUAAAACUGCGGUGGUGAAAGAUGGGCAUGCGUCCUAUUAGCUAGUUGGAGUGGUAACGGCACCCCAAGGCUACGAUAGGUAGGGGUCCUGAGAGGGAGAUCCCCCACACUGGUACUGAGACAGGGACCAGACUCCUACGGGAGGCAGCAGUGAGGAAUAUUGGUCAAUGGUCGGAAGACUGAACCAGCCAUGCCGCGUGCAGGAAGAAUGCCUUAUGGGUUGUAAACUGCUUUUAUAUGGGAAGAAUAAGGCGUACGUGUACGUUGAUGACGUACCAUAUGAAUAAAGCUUCGCA
rnacentral:rRNA from 1 species